rnacentral:rRNA from 1 species
GACGUAGGGCGCGAGCGUUGUCCGGAUUUAUUGGGCGUAAAGAGCUCGUAGGCGGCUUGUCGCGUCGAAUGUGAAAUCUCGGGGCUCAACUCCGAGCUUGCAUUCGAUACGGGCAGGCUAGAGUUCGGUAGGGGAGACUGGAAUUCCUGGUGUAGCGGUGAAAUGCGCAGAUAUCAGGAGGAACACCGGUGGCGAGGGCGGGUCUCUGGGCCGAUACUGACGCUGAGGAGCGAAAGCGUGGGGAGCGAACAGG